ACCUCAUGAUGAGGACAUCUCCUGCACAACUCUUGAAAUCUCUCCCAAGCUUCUGAUAAAGUCUCCCUAUCAUGUUGCACAAUUAGUAAUUUUAUUUCUCAUCU
rnacentral:snoRNA from 1 species